UAAAAACCCCGACUUCSGAAGGGGKGKAUUUAUUAGAUACAAAACCAAUGSCCUUCGGGGCUCUUUGGUGAUUCAUGAUAACUAUACGAAUCGCACGGCCUUGCGCCGGCGAUGGUUCAUUCAAAUUUCUUCCCUAUCAACUUUCGAUGUUUGGGUAUUGGCCAAACAUGGUUGCAACGGGUAACGGAGGGUUAGGGCUCGACCCCGGAGAAGGAGCCUGAGAAACGGCUACUACAUCCAAGGAAGGCAGCAGGCGCGCAAAUUACCCAAUCCCGACUCGGGGAGGUAGUGACAAUAAAUACUGAUACAGGGCCCUUUCGGGCCUUGUAAUUGGAAUGAGUACAACUUAAAUCCCUUAACGAGGAACAAUUGGAGGGCAAGUCUGGUGCCAGCAGCCGCGGUAAUUCCAGCUCCAAUAGCGUAUAUUAAAGUUGUUGUGGUUAAAAAGCUCGUAGUUGAACCUUGGGCCUGGCUGGCCGGUCCGCCUCACCGCGUGCACUGGUCCGGCCGGGCCUUUCCCUCUGUGGAACCCCAUACCCUUCACUGGGCGUGGCGGGGAAACAGGACAUUUACUUU
rnacentral:rRNA from 1 species